GCAGCAUCCCACCCUAAUGGGUGGGCAGCACAGCAGGAGGGAUCCUCGAGGUCCGCGUUGGCUGGAGUUGGUCUGACACCAUGGAGAUGACACACAGGUUCCUGUGAUAACAGGGUGGUGACCAGAGAAGGUACAGGCUGGAGAUUCCUGCAGGUGCCCUGAAGUAUUCCCCAGCAUACCUGGCUUUGCUCUGGGCAUAAGACUACACACCAUAUGAGUGUGAGGCUCUGGAGGAAGGACAGACAUCUGAAUUGCUUUGAUGCCACCUCCAAUUGCAACAUUCACAGCCAUGAGCUUAAGAUCCCUUUCAGUUCUUAC